AUACGGAGGGGGUUAGCGUUGUUCGGAAUUACUGGGCGUAAAGCGCACGUAGGCGGACUGGAAAGUUGGGGGUGAAAUCCCGGGGCUCAACCCCGGAACUGCCUCCAAAACUUCCAAUCUAGAGAUCGGGAGAGGUGAGUGGAAUUCCAAGUGUAGAGGUGAAAUUCGUAGAUAUUUGGAGGAACACCAGUGGCGAAGGCGGCUCACUGGCUCGAUACUGACGCUGAGGUGCGAAAGCGUGGGGAGCAAACAGGAUUAGAUACCCGAGUAGUCC
rnacentral:rRNA from 1 species